GCGGGAAUAGCUCAGUUGGUAGAGCAUAACCUUGCCAAGGUUGGGGUCGAGAGUUCGAGUCUCUUUUCCCGCUCCA
rnacentral:tRNA from 16 species